rnacentral:tRNA from 1 species
GCUCAUUUGGCUCAGUGGAUAGAGUGUCAGCCUGCGGACUGAAGGGUCCCAGGUUCAACUCCAGUAAAGGGCA